GCGGCGAGUGAAGCGGCAAAAGCUCAAAUUUGAAAUCUGGCACUUUCAGUGUCCGAGUUGUAAUUUGAAGAAGGUAUCUUUGGGUCUGGCUCUUGUCUAUGUUUCUUGGAACAGAACGUCACAGAGGGUGAGAAUCCCGUGCGAUGAGAUGUCCCAGACCUAUGUAAAGUUCCUUCGAAGAGUCGAGUUGUUUGGGAAUGCAGCUCUAAGUGGGUGGUAAAUUCCAUCUAAAGCUAAAUAUUGGCGAGAGACCGAUAGCGAACAAGUACAGUGAUGGAAAGAUGAAAAGAACUUUGAAAAGAGAGUGAAAAAGUACGUGAAAUUGUUGAAAGGGAAGGGCUUGAGAUCAGACUUGGUAUUUUGUAUGUUACUCUCUCGGGGGUGGCCUCUACAGUUUACCGGGCCAGCAUCAGUUUGAGCGGUAGGAUAAGUGCAAAGAAAUGUGGCACUGCUUCGGUAGUGUGUUAUAGUCUUUGUCGAUACUGCCAGCUUAGACUGAGGACUGCGGCUUCGGCCUAGG
rnacentral:rRNA from 1 species